rnacentral:rRNA from 1 species
CAGCCGCCACGGGAAUACGUAGGGUGCAAGCGUUAAUCGGAAUUACUGGGCGUAAAGCGUGCGCAGGCGGUUCGCUAAGACAGAUGUGAAAUCCCCGGGCUUAACCUGGGAAUUGCAUUUGUGACUGGCGGGCUAGAGUAUGGCAGAGGGGGGUAGAAUUCCACGUGUAGCAGUGAAAUGCGUAGAGAUGUGGAGGAAUACCGAUGGCGAAGGCAGCCCCCUGGGCCAAUACUGACGCUCAUGCACGAAAGCGUGGGGAGCAAACAGGAUUAGAUACCCGUGUAGUCCCUGUCUCUUAUAA